rnacentral:rRNA from 1 species
GAUGAACGCUGGCGGCGUGCCUAAUACAUGCAAGUCGAGCGAACAGACGAGGAGCUUGCUCCUUUGACGUUAGCGGCGGACGGGUGAGUAACACGUAGGUAACCUACCUAUAAGACUGGGAUAACUACGGGAAACCGGAGCUAAUACCGGAUAAUAUUUCGAACCGCAUGGUUCGAUAGUGAAAGAUGGCUUUGCUAUCACUUAUAGAUGGACCUGCGCCGUAUUAGCUAGUUGGUAAGGUAACGGCUUACCAAGGCAACGAUACGUAGCCGACCUGAGAGGGGGAUCGGCCACACUGGACUUGGGACACGGUCCAGACUCCUAGGGGAGGCAGCAGAGGGAAUCUUCCGCAAUGGGCGAAAGCCUGACGGAGCAACGCCGCGUGAGUGAUGAAGGUCUUCGGAUCGUAAAACUCCGUUAUUAGGGAAGAACAAACGUGUAAGUAACUGUGCACGUCUUGACGGUACCUAAUCAGAAAGCCACGGCUAACUACGUG